CAGGACUCGCAAGACUCCUACAACCCUGUGAACUUAACUAUAAGCACGUUGCUUCGGGCGGGUGUCUCGGCGAGGGUUCUCCCUCCCCGGGGCGCUAAGCCCGCCGGCAGCCUACUAUACUCUGUCUCUUUGCGUUGGCAUCUCGAGUACAAUCAAACAAGUUAA
rnacentral:misc_RNA from 1 species